rnacentral:rRNA from 1 species
AGAGUUUGAUCAUGGCUCAGGACGAACGCUGGCGGCGCGCCUAACACAUGCAAGUCGAACGGAGUUAAGAGGAGCUUGCUUUUCUUGACUUAGUGGCGAACGGGUGAGUAACGCGUGAGUAACCUGCCUCAGAGUGGGGGACAACAGUUGGAAACGACUGCUAAUACCGCAUAAGACCACGGGGUCGCAUGGCCCUGAGGUAAAAGGAUUUAUUCGCUUUGAGAUGGACUCGCGUCCAAUUAGCUGGUUGGUGAGGUAACGGCCCACCAAGGCGACGAUUGGUAGCCGGACUGAGAGGUUGAACGGCCACAUUGGGACUGAGACACGGCCCAGACUCCUACGGGAGGCAGCAGUGGGGGAUAUUGCACAAUGGGGGAAACCCUGAUGCAGCGACGCCGCGUGGAGGAAGAAGGUUUUCGGAUUGUAAACUCCUGUCGUAAGGGACGAUAAUGACGGUACCUUACAAGAAAGCCACGGCUAACUACGUGCCAGCAGCCGCGGUAAAACGUAGGUGGCAAGCGUUGUCCGGAAUUACUGGGUGUAAAGGGAGCGCAGGCGGACCGGCAAGUUGGAAGUGAAAGCUAUGAGCUCAACCCAUAAACUGCUUUCAAAACUGCUGGCCUUGAGUAGUGCAGAGGUAGGCGGAAUUCCCGGUGUAGCGGUGGAAUGCGUAGAUAUCGGGAGGAACACCAGUGGCGAAGGCGGCCUACUGGGCACCAACUGACGCUGAGGCUCGAAAGUGUGGGUAGCAAACAGGAUUAGAUACCCUGGUAGUCCACACCGUAAACGAUGAUUACUAGGUGUUGGAGGAUUGACCCCUUC